rnacentral:rRNA from 1 species
GACGGGACCCGCACAAGCGGUGGAUGAUGUGGAUUAAUCGAUGCAACGCGAAAAACCUUACCUACCCUUGACAUGUCCGGAAUCCUGCAGAGAUGCGGGAGUGCCCGAAAGGGAAUCGGAACACAGGUGCUGCAUGGCUGUCGUCAGCUCGUGUCGUGAGAUGUUGGGUUAAGUCCCGCAACGAGCGCAACCCUUAUCAUUAGUUGCUACGCAAGGGCACUCUAAUGAGACUGCCGGUGACAAACCGGAGGAAGGUGGGGAUGACGUCAAGUCCUCAUGGCCCUUAUGGGUAGGGCUUCACACGUCAUACAAUGGUCGGUACAGAGGGUUGCCAAGCCGCGAGGUGGAGCCAAUCCCAGAAAGCCGAUCGUAGUCCGGAUUGUUCUCUGCAACUCGAGAGCAUGAAGUCGGAAUCGCUAGUAAUCGCGGAUCAGCAUGUCGCGGUGAAUACGUUCCCGGGUCUU